rnacentral:misc_RNA from 1 species
GAUGAAGAACGCAGUGAAAUGCGAUAAGUAAUGUGAAUUGCAGAAUUCAGUGAAUCAUCGAAUCUUUGAACGCAUCUUGCGCUCCUUGGUAUUCUGAGGAGCAUGCCUGUUUGAGUGUCAUUAAAUUCUCAACUACACUGACUUUGAAUUGGUGUGGCUUGGAUUUGGGUGGGAAAAUUGUUGUGGGCUUUUUGUAUAGUCUGCUCCCCUGAAAUUGAUUAGCGGUACCUUUGUGGAACUGUCUACAGGUGUGAUAAUUAUCUACAUCCUAGACAUCUGCUGGAAUGCUGCUUUCUAAACCUUACUUGUAUUGACAAUCUUGACCUCAAAUCAGGUAGGACUACCCGCUGAACUUAAGCAUAUCAAUAAGCGGAGGA